CCUACGGGGGGCAGCAGUGAGGAAUAUUGGUCAAUGGGCGGAAGCCUGAACCAGCCAAGUCGCGUGAGGGAUUAAGGCCCUGCGGGUCGUAAACCUCUUUUGCCGGGGAGCAGAGGUCCGGACGUGUCCGGGCCGGGAGAGUACCCGGAGAAAAAGCAUCGGCUAACUCCGUGCCAGCAGCCGCGGUAAUACGGAGGAUGCGAGCGUUAUCCGGAUUUAUUGGGUUUAAGGGGUGCGUGGGCGGGCAUUUAAGCCGUCGGUCAAAUGUCGGGGCUCAACCCCGGCAUGCCGGCGGAACUGGGUGCCUUGAGUGGGCGAGAAGUAUGCGGAAUGCGUGGUGUAGCGGUGAAAUGCAUAGAUAUCACGCAGAACCCCGAUUGCGAAGGCAGCAUACCGGCGCCCUACUGACGCUGAGGCACGAAAGUGCGGGUAUCGAACAGGAUUAGAUACCCCUGUAGUC
rnacentral:rRNA from 1 species